AAGUCCAUGAUGUGGACAUCUCCGAAGCAAUUCUCUAAACAGUUCCCAAGUUUCAUAUAACGAUUCACCAUCCAAUUGACUAAAACUAGUGAUAUCCAUUCUAAACUU